rnacentral:rRNA from 1 species
AUUGAACGCUGGCGGCAGGCUUAACACAUGCAAGUCGAGCGAGCGGCGGACGGGUGCGUAAUGUCUGGGAAACUGCCUGAUGGAGGGGGAUAACUAAUGGAAACGGUAGCUAAUACCGCAUACCAUCAGAUGUGCCCAGAUGGGAUUAGCUAGUAGGGUGGGUAAUGGCUAACCUAGGCGACGAUCCCUAGCUGGUCUGAGAGGAUGAGCAGCCACCCUGGCACUGAGACGCGGUCCAGACUCCCACUGGAGGCAGCAGUGGGGAAUAUUGCACAAUGGGCGCAAUCCUGAUGCAGCCAUGCCGCGUGUGUGAAGAAGGCCUUCGGGUUGUAAAGCACUUUCAGCGAGUAGGCGUUACUCGCAGAAGAAGCACCGGCUAACUCCGUGCCAGCAGCCGCGGUAAUAC